rfam:Schistosoma rodhaini strain Burundi genome assembly, scaffold: SROB_scaffold0001136
AUCCAGAUGACGAGUCCCAAAUAGAACGAAACGAAAGUUCUGGAU